CCUACGGGUGGCAGCAGUGGGGAAUAUUGGGCAAUGGGCGCAAGCCUGACCCAGCAACGCCGCGUGAAGGAAGAAGGCUUUCGGGUUGUAAACUUCUUUUCUCAGGGACGAAGCAAGUGACGGUACCUGAGGAAUAAGCUACCGCUAACUUCGUGCCAGCAGCCGCGGUACUACGUGGGUGGCAAGCGUUAUCCGGAUGUACUGGGUGUAAAGGGCGGGUAGGCGGGACUGCAAGUCAGAUGUGAAAACCAUGGGCUCAACCUAUGGCCUGCAUUUGAAACUGUAGUGCUUGAGUACUGGAGAGGCAGGCGGAAUUCCUAGUGUAGCGGUGAAAUGCGUAGAUAUUAGGAGGAACACCAGUGGCGAAGGCGGCUCUCUGGACUGUAACUGACACUGAGGCACGAAAGCGUGGGGAGCAAACAGGAUUAGAUACCCCAGUAGUC
rnacentral:rRNA from 1 species